rnacentral:rRNA from 1 species
AUUGAACGCUGGCGGCAUGCCUUACACAUGCAAGUCGAACGGCAGCACGGGUGCUUGCACCUGGUGGCGAGUGGCGAACGGGUGAGUAAUACAUCGGAACAUGUCCUGUAGUGGGGGAUAGCCCGGCGAAAGCCGGAUUAAUACCGCAUACGAUCUACGGAUGAAAGCGGGGGACCUUCGGGCCUCGCGCUAUAGGGUUGGCCGAUGGCUGAUUAGCUAGUUGGUGGGGUAAAGGCCUACCAAGGCGACGAUCAGUAGCUGGUCUGAGAGGGCGACCAGCCACACUGGGACUGAGACACGACCCAGACUCCUACGGGAGGCAGCAGUGGGGAAUUUUGGACAAUGGGCGAAAGCCUGAUCCAGCAAUGCCGCGUGUGUGAAGAAGGCCUUCGGGUUGUAAAGCACUUUUGUCCGGAAAGAAAUCCUUGGCCCUAAUACGGUCGGGGGAUGACGGUACCGGAAGAAUAAGCACCGGCUAACUACGUG